GACGAACGCUGGCGGCGUGCUUAACACAUGCAAGUCGAACGGAAAGGCCCUGCUUUUGUGGGGUGCUCGAGUGGCGAACGGGUGAGUAACACGUGAGUAACCUGCCCUUGACUUUGGUAUAACUUCAGGAAACUGGGGCUAAUACCGGAUAGGAGCUCCUGCUGCAUGGUGGGGGUUGGAAAGUUUCGGCGGUUGGGGAUGGACCCGCGGCUUAUCAGCUUGUUGGUGGGGUAGUGGCUUACCAAGGCUUUGACGGGUAGCCGGCCUGAGAGGGUGACCGGCGACAUUGGGACUGAGAUACGGCCCAGACUCCUACGGGAGGCAGCAGUGGGGAAUAGUGCCCAAUGGGGGGAAGCCUGAUGCAGCAAGGCCGCGUGCGGGAUGACGGCCUUCGGGUUGUAAACCGCUUUAGCCUGUGACGAAGCGUGAGUGACGGUAAUGGGUAAAGAAGCACCGGCUAACUACGUG
rnacentral:rRNA from 1 species